rnacentral:lncRNA from 1 species
AUAGCGUGUCUUGCUCGCCAAACUCAUACAGUGGAUGUGAGAAGAGACUACUGUAUCACUGACAAUGAGGUUUGUUGUUGUCUGAAGGAGCGCUAUGAGUCUGUGGUGAAGAAGACCUUAGAGAAGUGCCAGAGGGCCAAACAGAGACUGAGCCAGGGCUCUCGAGGAAGGAAGACCAACAACAAGAGCGCUUCAUGCCACUCCAUAUCUGCCACUGCCACCAACUGUCAUAAAUCACCACACCGCUCUGGCACACCUGACCACCACCGGGUGCAGGCAGACUACCGCUCUGGCACACCUGACCACCACCGGGUGCAGGCAGACUACCGCUCUGGCACACCUGACCACCACCGGGUGCAGGCAGGCCUCCAGGCAGACUACCGCUCUGGCACACCUGACCACUACCGGGUGCAGGCAGGCCUCCAGGCAGACUACCGCUCUGGCACACCUGACCACUACCGGGUGCAGGCAGGCCUCCAGGCAGACUACCGCUCUGGCACACCUGACCACUACCGGGUGCAGGCAGGCCUCCAGGCAGACUACCGCUCUGGCACACCUGACCACCACCGAGCACAAUCGGACUUCCAGGCAAAUCUCCGGGCAGACUACCGGUCUAUCAUCUGGGCAAACUACCAGGUAGCCACCUCCCUCAGUCCCAGCCUUACACUCUUUGAAAAAAGGGUUCCAAAAGGGUUCACCAGCUGUCCCCAUAGGAGAACCCUAUUUGGUUCCAGGCAGAACCCUUUUGGGUUCGAUGUAGAACCCUCUGUAGAAAGGGUUCUACCUGGAACCGAAAAGGGUUCUUCUAAUAGUUCUCCUAUGGGGACAGCCGAAGUACCCUUUUAAGAGUGUAGCAGCAACUGAUCCAUCAUCAGGGCACAGGUAAUAUUACAUCACAGGUUAUAUAACAUCACAGGUUAUAUAACAUCACAGGUAAUACCUGCUGGAAAUGUAAUUGUAAACAUAGAGAUAGAUAGUUUCAUCUCUAUGACUGUUAAAUGUCUGGGUCAUCUGGGUUGGUGGGAUGGUGUUGUUAUUUUGUCUCCAUGUAAUGCACGAACUUGAGGGAAAUGAUUUCAUUGGAGGAAGACAAUAAACUCUAUAUUCUUUUCAUUCAUUUUCUAUUCUAUUCAUUCAUCAUGUAUACUGGAUUACUGGACUAUAUUCAUUGUCAUACUCUAACAGAGAGGCACACAUUUCUAUACAUUUUUGAAGAUACAGCAUUUAUUGGUUAUAAGCCUAAAUUACUUUGAUGUCUUUCUGCCGUCCCAAAAUGACCGCAAUAAAAUGAGCUUGUAACAUGGCUCCAUUCCUUCUGUCUCAUGUUUCUAUCAUAUAUAUGCUGUAUUGUUAGGUAGAUUAUAUUAACUGCAGUAAAAUUAUCUGUUGAUUUGUUAUGAAGCUAACAGACUGCAGUAAAAUGAUCUGUUGAUUAGUUAUAAAGUUAACAGACUGCAGUAAAAUGAUCUAUUGAUUUGUUAUGAAGUUAACAAACUGCAGUAAAAUGAUCUAUUGAUUUGUUAUAAAGUUAACAAACUGCAGUAAAAUGAUCUAUUGAUUUGUUAUGAAGUUAACAAACUGCAGUAAAAYAAUCUGUUGAUUUGUUAUAAAGUUAACAAACUGCAGUAAAAUGAUCUGUUGAUUUGUUAUAAAGUUAACAAACUGCAGUAAAAUGAUCUGUUGAUUUGUUAUAAAGUUAACAAACUGCAGUAAAAUGAUCUGUUGAUUUGUUAUAAAGCUAACAAACUGCAGUAAAAUGAUCUGUUGAUUUGUUAUGAAGCUAACAAACUGCAGUAAAACGAUCUGUUGAUUUAUUAUGAAGCUAACAGACUGCAGUAAAACGAUCUGUUGAUUUAUUAUGAAGCUAACAGACUGCAGUAAAACGGUCUUGU